ensembl:lncRNA
UUGGCGCAGGAGGUAGAGCAGUUGUCUUGUAACCGAAAGGUUGCUAGUUCGAUCCCCAGCUCCUCCCAGCUGAGUGGUGAUGUGUCCCUGAGAGACACUUAACCCUAACUGCUCCUGACGAGCUGGCUGUCGCCGUGCAUGGUUGACUCUGCCGUCAAUGUUUGUAUUAACCGAUUUGUAACUGGGUUUUUGAUCGUGGACAGUAAGGGUUCUCUGCCUGAUGACUCCAUUGAACGCCCCCUUGUGCGGCAAGGAAUCGUCUUAUCUCCUGCCAGUUGUAAAUGGUGUUGCAGUGUACCGCGUGCUAAAGGAGCCUGGGAAAGGAGGAGUCAAAGCGCCUUUCCUUAGCAGUUGGACAAUAAUUGGACCCGCUCUCAUCAUGGCUGCCACUCCUGGGUCAUUUUACUCUACCUUUCUGUCCACAAACCUCAUCUCCCUUGUAAAUGGUUUUCCUGUUAAUACUUAAACUAAAAUGGUUGCUAUUAUUUUAACUUGUGUCGCUUCGUGAAUAAAAACUAUUUACAAAUAUUUGCAUUUUAUUGAUGAAUCCAGAAAAAGGUUUUCAUAUUGAACAGAAGAAAAUUGAAUUUUUA